ACAGAGGUGCCGAGCGUUAGGCGGAAUCACUGGGCUUAAAGCGUGUGUAGGCGGAUCGUUAAGUGCCUUGUGAAAUCCCACGGCUCAACCGUGGAACUGCUUGGCAUACUGGCGAUCUUGAGCCACUUAGGGGCUACCGGAACAAAUGGUGGAGCGGUGAAAUGCGUAGAUAUCAUUUGGAACGCCAAUGGUGAAAACAGGUAGCUGGGAGUGUGCUGACGCUGAGACACGAAAGCCAGGGGAGCAAACGGGA
rnacentral:rRNA from 1 species